rnacentral:rRNA from 1 species
UACGUAGGUGGCAAGCGUUGUCCGGAUUUACUGGGCGUAAAGAGCGCGCAGGCGGUCGUUCAAGUCGCGUGUGAAAGCCCCCGGCUCAACUGGGGAGGGUCACGCGAUACUGAUCGACUCGAAGGCAGGAGAGGGUAGUGGAAUUCCCGGUGUAGUGGUGAAAUGCGUAGAUAUCAGGAGGAACACCGGUGGCGAAGGCGGUUCUCUGGGCAUUACCUGACGCUGAGGAGCGAAAGUGUGGGGAGCGAACAGGA